AAAGAGGGCGAAGUGGCAAACCAAUUUCUCAACAGUACUCUUUGGAGCCACUUGAGAACAGAGGCCCUUUCCCUGUCAUUGCCUGCCCCACCCCUUCCUUUUUUGUAUUGACCAUAUUUGUUUCUCUGACGGCUGGCAGAGUGUCUGUACUUCAUAGCUGUGCUAGGUAAGUGGGGCCUCACAGAGCUGGCUACUGCAGCCUGGGUCUGAUGGCUGGCACAGUGCAUUUAAUGACUAUUGAUUACUGGCCCACUGACCACAGGCCAGGGGCUGUGUUGACACUGGCUGCAUGUGGGCAUUUCCCCAAGGAGUUCUUGCUGAAGGAAGAGAAUUCGAGUGACAGCGCUCUCAAAGGCUUCAUGAGAAGUAAACAGUCUGACAUGAACCUGCCGAUCCCAAGGCAUGACGCAGAGUCAGGAGUGACAACUCAUUAAGAAAUGCCUGCAGAACAAUGAAUCCAUCACUGUAACAUUCCAGAGAAUGUUCCUAGGCCACACAAUUCCCCACAGAAAAAUGCCAUCUAGACCCCAGCCGACCCCAAUCAUAAAAUCGGCCUCUUCAGAAUGAGAUAGGGUAGAGAAAGAGAAACGUCCAAAUCCCACCAGCUGACAUAAUGUUUUAGCAGAACCACCUCACAACGCCUUCCACUCCCCAGCAUCACUUCUCCUUUCCAACAGUACUGACUUUUCCUGCCUCAUGACUUUGGGGUCCACCUUCCCCUGUGGCCUGGAUGCCGUACUGAGAGUGUAAAGUCCUGAGUUGCAAUCUGGAGGAAUGAUGCCGGUGAAUAUAGGGUUAUGGACUUGUUUUCCUUAACAGCCUUCCACAACCAAGUCUGCAGAAAGACCUCUACCCCUACCAAUGUGAUUCCUGUGGCUUUGCAAUGUGAUGAGUCAACGGGGUCUAGAGUCCAGGGCUUUUGCAUUUAACCCAUGGUGUGACCUUGGCUGAGACCAUUUCUCCCAGCAGAUAGGCUCCUCGCUUAGAACGAGAGGGUGCCGGAUUCCACCUUCGGCAAUCCAGGAUGAAGGAAUACGCAAGCUCUUGUAGUGUGGUAAGAGGAUGUUCCACCACUGGCUUCUCUCUUCCAAAUACGAAGGUGUCCCUGUCU
rnacentral:lncRNA from 1 species